GGGGAUUUAGCUCAGUGGUAGAGCGCUUGCCUAGCAAGCCAAGACCCUGGGUUCGGUCCCCAGCUCCG
rfam:Rattus norvegicus chromosome 8, whole genome shotgun sequence.